AGUGAACGCUGGCGGCAGGCCUAACACAUGCAAGUCGAGCGGCAGCGCGUCCGACCACCCUCGGGUGGUCGGAUGGCGGCGAGCGGCGGACGGGUGAGGAAUGCAUCGGAAUCUGUCUCGUUGUGGGGGAUAACGUAGGGAAACUUACGCUAAUACCGCAUACGACCUACGGGUGAAAGUGGGGGACCUUCGGGCCUCACGCGAUGAGAUGAGCCGAUGCCGGAUUAGCUAGUUGGCGGGGUAAAGGCCCACCAAGGCGACGAUCCGUAGCUGGUCUGAGAGGAUGAUCAGCCACACUGGAACUGAGACACGGUCCAGACUCCUACGGGAGGCAGCAGUGGGGAAUAUUGGACAAUGGGGGCAACCCUGAUCCAGCCAUGCCGCGUGUGUGAAGAAGGC
rnacentral:rRNA from 1 species